UGCCACAGAGUCGCAGUGCACUGGAUGAAUGCAAUUGCUGGUACUCAGAGGAACAGGGUUCUAAGCCUCUGUCCCACCCCAAGGAGUCACAGAGCAAUCAGUGCCUCCCGAGAUUCAGCCCAGUUAGCACUCACUUCCAGAAGUCAUAGACACGCCCCACCCUGGCAGCAACAGACAGGGUAGGGCUGGCUUUGCCCAUGUGUCUGCAGAGGAAACCAAGGCCGAGCCAGCAGCAGGGACCGGCUCCAGGCCACCCAGCCACCCAGAGGUGCUUAGGGCUGAUUUGGGUCUGGAAUCUUAGAUGGUUAGAACUGGAAUAUUCUACCAUGGAGACCAACAUCACAAGAUCCACAAGUGACAGUUACCCACACAGCAGCCCAGAGAAGGAGGUCUGGGGACAGCAGAGCGAAUUAUCAAGGGGUCCAGCUGCUACUAUUCAUUCAUUCAUCUGUCCAGUGACAUGCAGAUGCAUCCUCGGGGCCAGGUGCUGCCAGUGAGCCUGCCUGGAAACAUUAGAAGGGACCGAGGCGGCGAGAUGUCUAAAAUAGGAAGACGCUGGGGACGGCUGGCCUGGCUGCCCGCGAUGCUGGCUGCGGGGAUCUGGUCCGGCAGUGCAGAUGGAAAAGCUAGGAGGUCCAGGGGCUGGAAGCAGCCGGCAGCCUAGCAGUGCCACCGUGUGGGAGAGGUGGGCCAGCACAACAGGAAGUGGAACGUUCAACUCAGCCCAGCAUACCUUUUCUGUUUGGUACAGAAUUAUCACCUCUUAUCCUGCCAAGUUAAACAUGGAUUGCACUUUGUCAAAUAGGCUUCUGAGCUUUUUCUGCUGAAAAUGGUGCGUGCGUGUGUGUGUGUGUGUGUGUGUGUGUGUGUGUGUGUGUGUGUGUUGUAUAUACGAAUGAGACCAUAUUAUGCAUGCGUCAUUCUGAAAUUUGUUUUGCCUUUUAAAUCUGUCUUUGCUAACCAGGGAACAGAGACUGAAGAAUAUUUGGCAUAUUAAAGUCUGUGAAUCAUGUUGAAGAGAA